rnacentral:lncRNA from 1 species
AACAUGGCCUUUUUCAAUGGGAAAAAUUAUUAGCACAAACAUAGUUUAGAUGUUACAUGUUACAUAAGACUUGAGCUUGAGCAACUAUCCUGCUAUAGGUAUAUAAAUUUCCUAAUUUUAAUCACAACAGCAGACAAGAACCUUCCUAAAGGGCAAACUCCCUUAUGCUGUGUUGUCCUUUCAUCUAUUUCAAAAUUUAACUUGUGCACAUGGGCACUGAAACAUUUUAUCAAUGCACAAUAAAAUAUUAAACACACACAAUAGUCUAGUUGGGAAUCCAAAUGCUUGACUUUCACACAUCAACAUACACCCAAAUCAUAGAACGGUUGUUCUGUCCGGAAAUGGAAAGAACAUCAACAAGUGACAUGCUCCAUCCACCCUUUGGACUGCUCUUCUCCUCAUGCCUCCCCUUCAAUCACUCACCAUAUUAAUAACACCUAAAUACGAAAACCACUUAUGAAUUAUACUGGCAUGCAAAACAUUGUAUACCGUGAAGCAUAGCAAUGCCACUAAGUAAGAUGGGAAUAGUGAUAUAAUUAGUUCAGGUUGCAGCCAUCGAAAGCAUACCGAUAACACGAAGAUAAACUAACAAUAAAUAUAUCAAUGCAUGUUCAUGACUGAAUUCACUCUAUUUCAGCAAGAAGUAAGAAAAUGUAACCACCUUAAGUAAAAAAUUAGAAUGAGCAAAAGCAUUAAUAUCCAUAAUACACACAUGUACUUUGAAGGUGAUUGUGUCUCAUGUAGCACCAAGGCCCGAACCACUAUGAUACUUACCAAAUUUCUUGAGCAUCUAAAUUUAAAGUAGCAAAGAAGAAAAUAAAAAAUUCUAAGUGAGAACAAUAGUAAUGCUUGACAAACAGUACCGUAUAUGGAAGUUGAUACACAAGAAAAGCUAGAAAACAAUAGAUCAAAUUGAAAAAUAAUGAUGCUAAUAAAAAAUUCAUGGACUUUUAUCAGCACAACCUGUUCCCCUAGCAACCACACGGAGUCAUCAAGCUGCAUUGGUUAAGGUGGGCCACAUGGUCCAAGCUUAGAAUUAUGAACCUGAGGGCAGCCUAUGGCUAGCAGAACAACAACAGUUGAUGCAAGGCCAUCAAUUUUGAUUGUUAAACUGGUUAGUUCAACACAAAAAAUUAGUAAUAUGAUGUUAAUCCAUGACAAAGUGAGGAGAAUAAAAUAGGCAAGGUGAUAACACGAUGCAAGGAUCGGACGACCGAACUGGCACAAUUGACCGAAAUGAGCAAGAUCGAACGGCCAACAAAGAUCCAAAUCAGGGGAGAGCUGUUAGGUAUAAAAUUGCUUUCCCUGGCUCAUAUAAAAUUAGAUACCCAGGUUGUUCACCAGCUCGUCGAAACAAUGGCCUAAAAUUAAAAGCUCUUUCUUAUGAGCCUGGACAAUUGUUUCUUCUCUCAGCCACUAAAAAUGGUUUAGAACAUGAUGUUGACAUGCUGCAACAUUACAUUGUUUUCCCAGUGUGCCAAGAUUGUCUAGCCCAUGCAUGCUAGUUAGCCCGACAAAGUAAAUUUUUGUUUCGGUACCAAACACCUAUCCUUACCCAGCGAAGACCAGUAGUUUGUUUGCUUUGGAAAUAAAUACGCCCUAAAUCAUCAUGCAUAAACUGGUUGAGUUAUGGAUGUGCCGAAUGAAAGGUUUAGCUAAAUACAUUACUAUAACACAGUAGUUCUGAAAUUAUUACAUGGAGUAAGCAUGCUAACCUCUCCAUCCUACAUUCCAGUAUUUCUUCGACAUUCAGACUAAGCUCCUGUCAAUUUCAGGCAGGCAAGAUAGUACUUCUUCUCGUGUUUCAACCUACAAAAAUGAUUGGAUGCACCCUAAGUGCAUACAACAUGAUGUCUGAACACAGUUUUAUUCAAAGCAUAUGAACAAAAUAUUAAUUGGACUAAUUGCUGCAAUCAUCUUCUGAACCUAAUCAAGGGAAACAACAUAGAGCAAAAAUCUUCAAAUAAUCACAUGGCCAAAGAGAAGCUAUCUAUGAAUCAAGCUUUCGGUCAAGAUGCACACCAAUAAAAAGCAUUAGUUUUAUAAGGUACAAACAACUGUACCUUGAAGCACAAUCAACAUGCUGGACCUAGCUCCUAAUUCCAUUUAGGAAUCAUCAUCUUCAUAAAGUAAUAAGUAAACUUGGUCAUCCAUGCACCGACUAUAGCCUGCUUGCUAAUUUCCACCUAUGUCACAAAUAAGACAAUGUCAUGUUCAAACUGAAGGUGAAAGCAGUAUACAUUCAGUUUCUAAUUUAUAUUAGUAAUAAAAAUCUCUAUAAAGAGGCAGACCAACCGCUGGAAAUAAACUGGCAUGGAACUAAAUCAGUGUCCACAAAACCAUAGAUAUGCAUGCUCAUCAAGAAUGUCAUACAUUUUACCAGAAUGGAAGCUUAGUUGGUGCUGGUGCUCUACCUCAAGAACCUCUAGCCCACACAACAGAAAUCCGUCCAUCUUGGCCAUGAAUUCAC